CUCCUCCCAUGAUAGUGGUGCAGGGAAGCGCUCCCCUUGCAGCCAGUGGGAGAGAGAGAACAAAAGCUAGAGGAAAGUCGUCGUGGCUGCCAGGAGUUGGUGGCUGCCAUGUUUUCCUGCCUCUUACACUG